rnacentral:rRNA from 1 species
GGCGACCGGCGCACGGGUGAGUAGCACGUAUCCAACCUGCCGAUGACUCGGGGAUAGCCUUUCGAAAGAAAGAUUAAUACCCGAUGGCAUAGUUCUUCCGCAUGGUGGAACUAUUAAAGAAUUUCGGUCAUCGAUGGGGAUGCGUUCCAUUAGGUUGUUGGCGGGGUAACGGCCCACCAAGCCUUCGAUGGAUAGGGGUUCUGAGAGGAAGGUCCCCCACAUUGGAACUGAGACACGGUCCAA